GCGCGCGUGGUGAAAUUGGUAUACACGUAUGCCUUAGGAGCAUAUGCCUUCGGGCGUGGAGGUUCAAGUCCUCUCGCGCGCACCA
rnacentral:tRNA from 1 species